UGCCGCCAGCUUUGUCUCCUGAACACCUCGUUCACCAUUUCUUCCUCCGGAGUCGGAAAGGCGCGCUUCUUUGGGCUCUUGAGAAGGUGGUCCGGAAGCUGGCGACCAAGGGUAGUUGUUCACCCUCAUCUGCUGAUACUAUAGAGGUCGCCCCCACCCCCACCCCAGGGUUGAAGUAAGGGUGCAGUGGGCAGGGCGGCGCAGCUGGGGAAUCGGUCCUGCGUUGGGUGUUCUCUCAGAGCCAGAACUCGAGUGGGGAGCGCGCGUGCUAGUGACCCGUGAUGCGGCUAUGUCGCUGUCAUCUUCCCUUUCCAUUGGGUUAUCCUGGGUGUGAGCCUGCGCCACACGAAUGUAUUCCCUCACUCAGGAGAACCACAAUCCACCCUCUCUUCCACUAAUGUAAAUCUAAGUUGGCCUGUUUUUGUUUGUUUGUUUGUUUUAGAUUUUUAGCUACCCAGUUCAGGAAAUACCUUCUAUCUUGUCCGUGAUUUCCAUCCUAAUCUCAUGGUGCUAGGACUAAUCUACCGUUGCCAUCUUUAGGUGUUUACCAUUGUAUUUGGCAUCCCCCAUCUUUUCAUGGUAUUUGACUUGAUUUGACAUGAUAACAUUUUUAAAAUUUUAUUUAAUUCCAAGUUAGUUAAAAAAUAGUGUAAUAAUGGUUUCAGGAUUAGAAUUUAGUGAUUCAUUACGCAUAACACCUACUGCUCAUCUCUACAGUACCCUCCUUAAUGCCCAUCAUGCCCCCACCCCCCUCCCAGCAACCCUCAGAUUUUGUAUUUAAGAGUCUUAUGUUUUGCCUCCCUCUCUGUUUUUAUCUUAUUUUUCUUGCCUGUAUGUUCAUCUGUUUUGCUUCUUAAAUUCCCAUAUGAGUGAAAUCAUAUAUUUGUCUUUAACUUAUUUCACUUAGCAUAGUAUGUUCUAGUUCCAACCAGGUUGUAGCAAAUGGCAAGAUUUCAUUCAUUUUGAUUGUAAUAUUCCAUUGUGUACACACACCACACUUUCUACAUGCACUCAUUCAGUCAUUGGACAUUUGGGCUCUUUCCAUAAUUUGGCUAUUGUUGAUAGUGCUGCUAUAAACAUUGGGAUGUAUGUGCCCCUCCGAAACAGCAUACCUGUAUCCUUUGGAUAAAUACCUAGUAUUACAAUUGCUGGGUUGCAGGGUAGCUCUAUUUUUAAUUAUUUGAGGGAUUUCCAUAGUAUUUUCCAGAGCAGCUGCACCAGUUUGCAUUCCCACCAACAGUGCAGAAGUGUCCCCCUUUCUCUUCCUCCUCUCUAGCUUUGGUUGUUUCCUAAGUUGUUAAUUUUAGCCAUUCUCACAGGUGUGAGAUGGUAUCUCAUGGUUUUGGUUUGUAUUACCCUGAUGAUGAGUGAUGUUAAGCAUCUUCAUGUGUCUGUUAGCCAUCUAGAAGUAAUCUUCAGAAAAGUGUCUGUUCAUAUCUUCUACCCAUUUCUUCACUGGAAUAUUUGUUUUGUGGGUGUUGAGUUUGAUACAUUUCUUUACAGAUUUUGGAUACUAACCCUUUGUCUGUCAUUUGCAAAUAUCUUCUACCAUUCAGUUGGUUGCCUUUUAGUUUUAUUGUUUCCUUUGCUGUGCAAAAGCCUUUUAUCUGGAUGAGGUCCCAAUAGCUCAUUUUUACUUUUGUUUCCUUUGCCUCCAGAGACAUGUCUAGUAAGAAGUUGCUGUGGCCAAGGGCAGAGAGGUUGUUGCCUGUUUUCUCCUCUAGGAUUUUGGUGGUUUCCUUACAUUUAGGUCUUUCAUCCAUUUUGAGUUUAUUUUUGUGUAUGGUGUUAGAAAUUGUUCCAGGUUCUUUCUUCUGUAGAUUACUGUUUGCUGAAGAGACUGUCAUUUAUCCGUUGGCUAUUCUUUCCUGCUUUUUGGAAGAGUAGUUGGCCAUACAUUUCUGUAUCCAUUUCCGGGUUCUCUAUUCUCUAUUUUGUUCCAUUGAUCUAUGUCUGUUUUUGUGCCAGUACCAUACUGUCUUGAUUACAGCUUUGUAAUACAGCUUGAAGUCCAGAAUUGUGAUGCCUCCAGUUUUGGUUUUGUUUUUCAACAUUACUUUGGCUCUUCGGGGUCUUUUCUGGUUCCAUUCAAGUUUUAGAAUUGUUUUUUCUAGCUCUGUGAAGAAUGAUGGUGUUAUUUUGAUAGGGAUUAGCUGAAUGUGUAGAUUGCUUUGGAUAGCAUUGACAUUUUAACAAUAUUUGUUCUUCUAAUCCAGAGGCAUGGAAUGUUUUUCCAUUUGUGUCUUCUUCAAUUUCUUUCAUAAACUUUCUAUAGUUUCCAGAUACAGAUAUUUUACCUCUUUGGUUAAGUUUAUUCCUAGGUAUUUUAUGGUUCUUGGUACAGUUGUAAAUGGGAUUAAUUCCUUGAUUUCUCCUGCUGCUGCUUCAUUAUUGGUGUAUAGAAAUGGCCACAGCUUUCUGUACAUUGAUUUUAUAUCCUGCAACUUUGCUAAAAUCAUGGAUCAGUUCUAGCAGUCUUUUGGUGGAGUCUUUCAGGUUUUCCACGUAGAGAGUGAAAGUUUGACUUCUUUCAUACUGAUUUGGAUGCCGUUUAUUUCUUUUUGUUGUCUGAUUGCUGACUCUAGGACUUCCAGUACUAUGUUGAGCAACAGUGGUGAGAGUGGACAUAUCUGUCAUAUUCCUUUUUUAAAAAUAUAUAUAUUUUUACUGUUUAUUUAUUUUUGAGAGAGAGAGAGAGAGAGAGAGAGAGAGAGAGAAUGCAAACGGGGGCUGGGCAGAGAGAGAAGGAGACACAGAAUCCAAAGUGGGCUCCAGACUCUGAGCUGGGCCCACUAGGCCCCAAUGCAGGGCUCAGACUCAUGAACCAUGAGAUUAUGACCUGAGCCGAAGCUGGACACUUGAGCAACUGAGCCACCCAGGUGACCCUCCUGUCGUAUUCCUGACCUUAGGAGGAAAGCUCUGUUUUUCCCCAUUGAGGAUGAUAUUAGCUGUGGGUCUUUCGUAUAUGGCCUUUAUGAUGUUGAGGUUUGUUCCUUCUAUCCCUACUUUGUUGACUUUGUUGAGGGUUUUUAUCCAGAAAGGAUGCUGUAUUUUGUUAAAUGCUUUUUCUGCAUCCAUUGAGAGGAUCAUGUGGUUAUUAUCCUUUUAUUAAUGUUAUUUAUCACAUUGAUUGAUUUGUGGAUAUUGAACCAUUCCUGCAGUCCAGGAAUAAACCCCACUUGAUCAUGGUGAAUAAUUAUUUUAAUGUAUUAUUGGAUUCAAUUUGCUAGUACCAUGUUGAGAAUUUUUGCAUCUGUCUUUAUCAGGGAAAUGGUCCAUAAUUCUCCUUUUUAGUGGGGUCUUUGUCUGGUUUUGGGAUCAAGGUAAUGCUGGUAAUACACAGAAUCUGAAGCAGGCUCUGAGCUGUCAGCACAGAGCCUGACAUGGGGCUCGAACCCACAAACCGUGAGAUCAUGACCUGAGCUGAAGUCAGAUGCUCAACUGACUGAGUCACCCAGGUGCCCCUAAAAAUCCAGUCUAUCUUUAAGAUAAGUUUGGUAAAAGUCUUUUAGUCAUAUCAUUAAAAAAUUAAAAUGUAGAAAAGUAUAUAGUGAAAAAUCUGUUUCACAUCCUUACAGCCUAUUUGCUCAAUUUCCAAUGUACCCCAUCCCAAAGACAACUAGUUGGGAGGUUAUGGUAGUUUAUGCUAGUUGGCUAGACAACUAGUUGGGAGCCAAGGAAAUACAAAUACACUUAUUUUCCUACUUUCUUUUUUUUACACACAAAGAGUAGCCUAAUAUACAUAAUGUUCUGCAUCCUACUUUUUUUUCAUUUAAAAACAUUUUUGAGGGGCGCCUGGGUGGCUCAGUCAAUUGAGUGUCCAGCUUCGGCUCAGGUCAUGAUCUCGCAGUCUGAGUUUCGAGCCCCGUGUCGGGCUCUGCUGACAGCCCAGAGCCCGGAGCCUGCUUCAGAUUCUGUGUCCCCCUCUCUCUCUGCCCCUCCCCCACUCAUGCUCUGUCUCUCUCUGUCUCAGAAAUAAAUAAACAUUAAAAAAAAUUAAAAAAAAUAAAUACAAAAUAAAACCUUUUUGAGAUUCAUACGCAUAUACAAUGUUAUCACUUUUUGUACAGCUGUACAGAUUCCAUGGUAUGGCUAUACUAUGUGGUUUUUUUUUUUUUUUAUUUUUUAUAACCAGUCCCCUAUUGAUAGCCAUUUGGGAUUGUCUAUUAUGAACAAUGCUGUAAUGAAAAAAAUUGUUGUUGUGCAAAUUUAUGAUGAUACAAAUUCCUAAAAGACCAUUUCUGUGUUAAAAGUUAUAUGUAUUUGAAAUUUUGAUAGAUAAAUGCCAACUGCCUUCUGUAAGCACCAUACUAAUUGAAUUUCCACUACCAAUGUGUAUAUAUUUUCCGAUAGUCUUAUCAACAAAAUGUUAGCAUACUUAUUUCAUUUGAUGACUUGAUAGAUUGUCAUGAUAUCACAUAAUAUUUUUAAUUUUCAUUUCUCUUGGGAAAUGAGCAUCUUAUAUUUAAGAGCCAUGUAUAUUUUUUCUUUUCUGGGAACUCAGUGUAAACUGUUGUCAAUUUUUCUAUUGAUUUGUUUUAUUCAUGAAUUUUUAAUGUAUUUUUAGUUCUUUUUUUUUUUUUUAAAUUUUUAAUGUUUAUUUUUGAGAGAAAGAGCACAUGCAUGGGAGGGGCAGAGAGAGAGGGAGACACAGAAUCAGAAGCAGGCUCCAGAUUCUGAGCUGUCAGCACUCAUGGGGCCUGAACUCAUGAAUUGGGAGAUCAUGACCUGAACCAAAGUCAGAAGCUUAAAUGACUGAGUGAGACAGGUACCCAAGUAUACAUGCUGCUUCUUAAUAAAAGGACCUGCAGCAGAGAUAAUGUAUUCAAUAUGAUUGAGAAAAUUGAAAGGAAAAUUUUCUGCCAAGCUUAAUUCAUUUGCUGUGAUGGAGCAUAUUUCAGUCGAGCUUCUAUCAGCUAUGGCAAAAAGGGAAAGGUAUUUGGCAAAAGGAAACAAAUAGAAAACCGUUAGUGGGUUCUAAAAAUUCUAAAUGAACUAUAAAGCUAUAAGAGGAAUCCAUUACCCUGACUCUGUUUUGUUUUUUCCCCCUAGAACAAGACAAAUUCAUAGGAAAAAUGGAAAAGCAAAAGUUCUGAUGUUUUGCUUUUGAUUUCACCAACUCCAGGUGUUUUCUUUUUAGAAAGGUAAGAAAUUUAUCUCAGAAACUAACAAAUAUGCUGUGCUUGAAAGAUUCAUUCUCACUUAGAUUGCUGAAAAACAUCUCUAACAAUUCAGCUAAAAUAAGAAUGCUUACCUGUCUAAUAUUUUUUAUUUAUUUAUUUAAAUUAUUUAUUUAUUUAUUUAAGUAAUCUCUACAGCCAAAGUAGAGCUUGAACUCAUGACUCUGAGAUCGAGAGUUGCAUGCUCCUCUGACUGAGCCAGCCAGGCGCCCCCACGUGUCCAGUAUUUGAUUCAACUGAAAAUGGACACCAGAAAAUCCCUUUCUUUUUAAUAAAUUAAAUAAAAAUAAUUUAAAAUGAUUACUUUUGAAAGCACUGAUACUAUAAAAGGUAAUACUAAAAAAUAAAGGUCCAGAAGACAACAAAAUACUUGGAAACUUACAAGAUGGUAUAGGGACCAUUUGGAACCCCAAGGUCAGUAUGAAGAUUAUUUUAAGCUGAAGACAUUUGAGAAUCAAUACGUGCAGAAAGAAGCCUUCUCAGAGCUUCCCUUAUCUAACUAAAAGCAGAAACUUCUGGGAAGUGAGGCUGCAAGAAUUUCCCUGUCAGGGUCAGCCUACCCCAAGGAGAGAAAUCAAGAGUAAACCUACUAUAAAUCCCUUUCCCAGAAGAGUUUUAUGGCCAUGAAAAGUAAGGAAAACCACUCACAGCAGCAUAAACAAACUAUCACAAAGGUUCUUUCCAGAUGUUUUUUAAAAACCCAUUUGUUUUUCUUAAGUAAAUCUCUUUAUUCUUCCCACAAAGUCUGUUUUUCUCUACUAAAUUAGGUUAGCCUCUGACUAACUGUUCAAUGAGCUAGAUUCCUCCUUUAUUAACACCAUAUGCCUAUGAAUAAACCUUAAUUAUCAGAUCCCCAGUUGCUGAACUUAAAAGGGUGGAGGAAGUUUUUCCUCUCUAACAGUGGUCAAAGGGACAGCAGUUUUUUCAAUGAGGAAAAGAAAAUGGGGUGGUGGUGCAGGGAACUUCAAAUAUUUUCCAAAAAGAGGAAAUCUAAAUGGAUCAUAAACAAAGCCUUUUAAUUUCAUAAAUAUCCAGAAAAGGCAAAUUUAAAUCACCCUUCUGAUUGACAAAUAUUAAGAAUCUGACAGUACCCAGUGUUUGGCAAGAAUGGUGAACAACAGGAACACUCAAACACUGCUGGACAGAGUGUAAAUAGACGCAACAAUUUUACAAACAGCUUGACAUUUUCUAAAAAAUUGAAUAUACAGAUAUUCUAGGACCCAGCACUUUUACUCCCAGCUAUACACUCACCCUUGCUACUCAACUGCGGACUAUACACCAGAAACCUCAGCAUUUCCCAGCAACUUGUUAGAAGUGUAAAUUUCUGGGCCUUACUAUAGAUCAUAUGAAUUAAACUCUGCAUCUUAACAAGAUCUUGAGUGAUACAUAAGCACCUGUGCCCCAGGAUCCAUGGACAAGAAUGUUCUUGAUAGCUACAAACAAAUAAUCCCUUUAUCUAUGAACAGGAGAAAGUAUGCUAUAUUCAUAAAAUAUAUGAAAAUUAUAUGUUAAUGAAAAGGAACAAAUUACAGUUAAAUGCAACAUGGAUAAGUAUCACAAUGUUGAGAGAAAUAAGUAAGACAAAAAAAUACAUAGACUAUAAUUCAUAUAUGUAAUCUUCAGUAACAGUUACAACCAAACUGUGCUGUUUAUGUAUGAUAAGGUACAUUAAGGUAAUGAUACUAAAAAGGGGAGAAAGUAAAGCAAGAAAUUGAUUCAGGGUGAAAUCAGGGUGGAAUUUCUCCAGAGGAGAGGGGUGAGUUGUGAUCUUGGAGGGAGGGAGGCAGUUGUAGGGUGCUUACAGAACAGGCGUAUGUGUUGGAUAGUGUCUAAAGUGUUUCUAUUUUAUAAGUAUUUAAAUUUUUUUUUUUCAACGUUUUUGAUUUAUUUUUUGGGACAGAGAGAGACAGAGCAUGAACGGGGGAGGGGCAGAGAGAGAGGGAGACACAGAAUCGGAAACAGGCUCCAGGCUCUGAGCCAUCAGCCCAGAGCCCGACGCGGGACUCGAACUCACGGACCGCGAGAUCGUGACCUGGCUGAAGUCGGACGCUUAACCGACUGCGCCACCCAGGCGCCCCAUAAGUAUUUAAAUGGUAUAUAAGUUCUGUGUAGUUUUCAGUAUGUGUGUUAUAUUUCACAUUAGAUAAAUAAAUGCUAUAGACUUAUUUCCAACGAUAUCUGGAUGGCUGACAAUGAGAAAAACAAUAAACAGGAAGUAACAGCAAAGUAAAUUGGCACUGGAUAGACUAGAAAAAGAAAAACCAAGGCCUCCCAGUGUUUGUUCUAUUGAAAAUAAGGCCUUUUUUUUUUUUUUUUUUUUUUUUCCUGGGUAAGGCAAUCUUUAUUUUCCAUGAGGGAAGUUUGGGCAUACAGACUCAAAGAGUGGAUGUGUUCUAGGGGGAGGGGUAGAAGGAAGCAGGAGAAUGGGAGGAGGCUACAGACCAUGCCAGGGUGGAGGAGGAGAUGGGGAUGACAGAGGGUGGGGAGGGGUUGGGGUUGGGUGGCAGGGGUGGUAGUGGUAGAUGGACACAGGAUACAGCACUUAGAGAUCAAAGAGGAGGCCAUACCCCAAGCUCUCAACUUACAUGUUUUCCUCCUUCCCCUAGUCCUGCCCCCUGUCCACCUGUUUGCAUUUGACCACAGACCCUCACAGGAGUAGCAGUUCAAGAACCCUUUUCUGAGUCAAACAUAGAGGGAAAUGGUGUCCCAUGUUGGAACUAUCAGAGGAACAUCCCAAAAAUUGAGUUAAGGAAGAUUUGGCCACUAGGGCACCUAAAUAGGAAGUUAGGUAAGGUGAAGAAUGCCCAAAAAGAAAACAAUCAACCUCGGCUAUGCUUUCUGUAGCUUUUAUACCUAGAUCUGAUGUUCAUGGAGUGGCCUUGAAGCCUCUCAUUAUCAUGGCCUUGAUGGAGAUUGGUGAAUAUAUUAUUUUAAUCUGGAGAAAGUUCCUUUCUGUGUAAAAUAGACUAUGUAAGAUAACUAAACUUCAAAUUGUUGAAAAUAAACCUCACUUGAAAGAAAAAAAAAAAAACCCAGAAAUUCCUAAGAAUGUGUCCAAACAUUAACAGAUGAUAACAGGAACAAAGAAAUCCUUGGGUUCAUGACCACUUCAGAAUAUACUUCAGAAUACAACUCACUUUUUUUUUACAACUCAUUAAGAAGGCUGGGCUUAAAAUUGUACUCGGGACUCUAAGAAAGUAGGCAUAAGACAGAGGAAGAUAAAUUUAGGAUGGACUUUGAGAAAGAAGUGGUAAAGAAAUCUGAAAAAUGUUACAAAUUUCUGGAAAGAUAAAACAUAAGAAAUCACUAAAAUUUAUAAAAAUAAAAAUGGCCAUUAAUUGUCUUAGUCCAUUCCGGAUGCCAUAAGAAAAUACCACAGACUGGCUAGUUUAUAAACAACAGUAAUUUAUUUCUCACAGUUCUGGAAGUUGGGAAGUCCAAGAUCAAAGUGCCAAUAUGGUCACUUGGUUUACAACUGUGCUUUAGUGCUGUGUCCUCUCUUAGUGGAAGGGGCAAACAAGCUCUCUGGGGUCUCUCUUAUAAGAUCAUUAGUUCUACUCAUGAGGGCUCCACCUCAUGGAUAAGCCCCUCCCAAAGGACCUACCUCCUAAUACCACUACACCAGGCAUUAGGAUUUCAACAUAAGAACUUUUGGGGGAGGGGCGCCUGGGUGGCGCAGUCGGUUAAGCGUCCGACUUCAGCCAGGUCACGAUCUCGCGGUCCGUGAGUUCAAGCCCCGCGUCGGGCUCUGGGCUGAUGGCUCAGAGCCUGGAGCCUGUUUCCUAUUCUGUGUCUCCCUCUCUCUCUGCCCCUCCCCCGUUCAUGCUCUGUCUCUCUCUGUCCCAAAAAUAAAUAAACGUUGAAAAAAAAAUUAAAAAAAAAAAAGAACUUUUGGGGGAAGCACGUUAAGACCACAACAUCAAUGAAGCAAAAGUUGUUAAAGAAACCAUCAAAUGUGAGCUAUUUCAAAAGUAGGGGGCAAGAAAUUCAGGUUUUGGAAAAUAGAGCAGUUGCCACAGAAAGUAGAGAAUUGGGAUGAACCAGCCACAUUGAGCUGAGUAAAACCUUGAAGAUCAUAAGAGGUCUCCAAAUGUGGGGCGCCUACGUGGCUCAGUCGGUUAAGCAUCCAACUCCUGAUUUUUGACUCAGGUCAUGAUCUCAUGGUUGGUGAGUUUGAGCCCCACGUUGGGCUCUGCGAUGACAGCACAGAGCCUGCUUGGGACUCUCUGUCUCCCUCUCUCUUUGCCUCUCCCCUUCUCUCUCUGUCUCUCUCUCUCAAAAUAAAUAAAUAAGCAAACAAACAUUAAAAAAAAGAUGUCUCCAAAAGGAAAGAACAGAUUUGUUGAUUACAAAAUUGCAAAGAGAAUUGGAACAGUUAUUUUGAGAUGAAUUCUGAAACUGAGGACAAAAGUAAUGAAAAAACUUUAUGUAUAUACUGAAAUAAGCAAUAGAGAAUCAGGGCCCAAGCUCUAUUAAACAUGAAGACAGAAAUGCUUCACUAGGCAAGAUAAAGUGAUACCAGCCACUCACAAAUCAUAGAUUGUAGAUGGAAGUUGGAAGACCACAGAAGGAAGUUGAAAGAGUAGUCCUGUUCAUUGCGAUUAUUCCAGGUUUAACUAGAAACAGACCCUAAAGCAGAGUAUGAAGAAACUAAAAACAAAUGUUAUGUACUAGGUUGAAUAGUAUAUCUCCCAAAUCCAUGUCCACCUGGAACUUGUAAGUGUGACUUUAUUUGGAAAUAGGGUCUUUACAGAUGUAGUCAAGUUAAAAUGAGAUUAUGCUGGAUUAGAGCAACUGGUGUCCUAAGAGGGGAAUUUGGACACAGAUAUACACAGAGGGAAGACGGAUAGAGAUAGGAGUGAUGCUGUCAUCUGGCAAGAAUGCCAAAAUUUGCUAGCAACCACCAGAAGCUGGAAGAGUCAAGGAAGGAUUCUUCCCUAGAGACUUUAGAGUUGGUUUGACCUUGCUGAUGCCUCAAUGUUUGACUUAUGGCCUCCAGAACUGUGAGAGAAUAAAUUUCUGUUGUUUUAAGCCACCCAGUCUGUAGUAUUUACUAUAUAGCCCUAGGAAACUAACGUACCCUAUGAUCAGAUGGCAGAAUGAGAAAGGUCAGGAACAAUUAGUUGAAAUAAAACAGUAAAAGCAGAGAAUUCAAUAUCUGGAAAAUUAAUACAAAACAAGAAGAUAACAUUGCCAUUCUGUAACAAAGUCCACUAAAUUUUUUUUUUUUUUUUUACACAAGGACAAUUUUAAUCCUCCAUUAUCCUGCAGUAACAUCCACUGCUGGCUUUAUAUGUAUUAAAACUGCAUUUGCCAAGAACUGUGAACAUUGAGAAUCUUUACAUGAAGUCACAUGGUUGAUACAGGUACAUAGAUACCUUCUAGCACCAACAGAAUACACACACAAUACAUAUCAAAUGGUCUUGAUGGAUAAAUUUGCUUCAUUAGAUACUCAUAUUUAGUAAAAUUCACAGUUAAUACAGAAUUUCAUUUUCUUAAUUUAUCUUUAUUACACAUUUUUUCUAAGAUUUUAAGUAUUUUUUUUUUUUCAACGUUUUUUUAUUUAUUUUUGGGACAGAGAGAGACAGAGCAUGAACGGGGGAGGGGCAGAGAGAGAGGGAGACACAGAAUCGGAAACAGGCUCCAGGCUCUGAGCCGUCAGCACAGAGCCCGACGCGGGGCUCGAACUCACGGACCGUGAGAUCGUGACCUGGCUGAAGUCGGACGCUCAACCGACUGCGCCACCCAGGCGCCCCUAAGAUUUUAAGUAUUUAAGAAAAACACCACUUAUUCAUUCAAGGUUGUAAUUUGUAGGGCAAUAAACAAUGGGUUCUAAAUUUCUUAAAGGUGUCUAUAGCAAUUUAAAAUACCAGGAGUCUUCUUUUCAAUUUGUAGCACCUGACUUGAGACCUUUAUUAAGUGCAAAGUUUAAGUUCAUUUAGUGCAUUCAUUAAAAUUCAUUGUCACUGUUUCUCUUGUGAGAAAGACUUAUUUCAAUUGCUAUUUCUCAGACUACCUAUAUAUAGAGAGAGAGAGCAUGGAUGUAUAUUCUUUCCAAUUGGGUAGAAUUUUAUUUUCAGAAUUUAUAGCUAGAACAAGAACUCACAGCAUCUCUGAAUGGCCUUUCACUCAAAACAAUGGUGAUAGUAAUGUAUAAAAUGGAUUUGGGGUCUUCCCCCCUAUUUAACAUUACCAAACAUGUUUCCAAAGUAUUCUUGGAAAAUAUUUAAAAAUAUAUGAAUAAUCUACCAUAUGGUACAUGAUCAUUCUCUAACUGUUUCUCAAUUGUUCAUUUACAUCAGUUGCAAUUUUUUUAUGAGUAACAUUGUGGUGAACAUCCUCACCCACAGUUUUAAGCAAGAAUGAUUCUAUCUUUAGGAUAAUGUCAACUAAGUAGCUUACUGAGUCAGACUGCAGAUGAUUUUAAGGCUUUAGUAUACUUUACCAAAUAAUCUCCAGAACGUGAACAACUCCUACCAACAUUAAUUUACUGUGAUCACAAAGUGAACUUGGUAUCAGUGAAGGAAAUUCAACCACAAAUCUAUUAGAUGCCCAAGCAUCUCAAAACUAUCACACCAAAGAAGCAAGGAGACAAUAUUAAUGAUGAUUAAGCCAAAAUUCAAAUUCUUUAAAACAUUACUCAGCUUCAAAUCAUGAUUUAAUUAAAUCAUGAUUAUUUUAAGAAAAUUAACUCAUUAAAUCAUGAUUAUUUUAAGAUAAUAAACAGAAAAGCUUUGCACAAAAAAAUGUACUGUUUUUCCAAAAAUAAAAAGUUAAAAAGAGAAGAAGUCAGUACUAAAUGACCAAAAAUUUUUAUUUGACUAAAUUCUAUUUCAUGCGCAAGCAUGACAGUCUCCCCUGUUUUUUAGACUUUGGCAAUUAAAAGAACACGCAGCCUUAUACAGAACAGUGAAAAUGCCAAGGGUGAGAGUAGUCUACAGUUUUACUGUAGGAUAAAUAUAUAUAUUUUUAAAAGGCCUCUCUCCCUUUGGCCAUAUCUACUCUCAGUUCAAAUCAUUAAAUAGGGACAAAUUUUCAAAAUCACUUCUUUACUUCUCCAAGAUUUUCGAUACUACCAUCAUUCACCACCUCCGGCCAUAUUUCCUGAAUGACAUCAGUGAUGUAAUCUGUAAAGUCUUCCUGAAUGAUGAUUUCAUCCUCUCCUGUUACUGAGAUACCACAGGAGAAUUUUUGAGCAAAAAAUCUUUGUACUUCUUUUAGAUCAAUUUCAAAAGUUGCAGGGCCACAUACUCUUGUUACAUAUUUCUUCUUUGCUCUGGGAAUUUUGGCUAUCAUAACCUUUUGUGGUACAUUCUUCUUUUUUUGCUUUAUUUGACCCCUUCCACCUGUCUUCUGCUUUUUCUUCUCUUCUUCUUCCCCUGGUGUGCCUUGACCCUCACUAGUUCCAGCCUCUUGUUUGGGUGAAUUUUCUAUAGUUAAGUUUUGCAAACUCAUUUGGAAAAUUCUUCUCUAACCACUGUUCACAUUUAGCGACAUCAGGCAUAUAUUCACAGUACUCUGUUGGUAAUGAACAGAGUCCACAGUAGAGGACUUAAAGUGGGUAGUCUGCAUCUAACUUGGUAUUUGCCCAGCUCUCCUUUGCAAUCAUGCCUACCAGAUUCAGAAAUAUCAGCAGGCAUCUCAAAAACCCAGCUGGUCACGCAACCCCUGCUGCCUCCACUCCACCACUACUGCCAGCUCCACUGUAAUUUGACCCUUGUCUAGGAUACAGAAGGAACUGUUGCUAAAGAGAAAAAAAAUCUUCCUAAGGCAGAAAUGAAUUCAAGUUAUCAGAAUUAACAUCUCACUCACAGUGCCUUCUUUUUUUUUUUCAAUUUUUUUUUCCACGUUUAUUUAUUUUUGGGACAGAGAGAGACAGAGCAUGAACAGGGGAGGGGCAGAGAGAGAGGGAGACACAGAAUCGGAAACAGGCUCCAGGCUCUGAGCCNNNNNNNNNNNNNNNNNNNNNNNNNNNNNNNNNNNNNNNNNNNNNNNNNNNNNNNNNNNNNNNNNNNNNNNNNNNNNNNNNNNNNNNNNNNNNNNNNNNNNNNNNNNNNNNNNNNNNNNNNNNNNNNNNNNNNNNNNNNNNNNNNNNNNNNNNNNNNNNNNNNNNNNNNNNNNNNNNNNNNNNNNNNNNNNNNNNNNNNNNNNNNNNNNNNNNNNNNNNNNNNNNNNNNNNNNNNNNNNNNNNNNNNNNNNNNNNNNNNNNNNNNNNNNNNNNNNNNNNNNNNNNNNNNNNNNNNNNNNNNNNNNNNNNNNNNNNNNNNNNNNNNNNNNNGGCUCAGAGCCUGGAGCCUGUUUCCGAUUCUGUGUCUCCCUCUCUCUCUGCCCCUCCCUCACUUGCACUCUGUCUCUGUCUCUCUCUCAAAAUAAACAAACAUAAUAAUAAAAAAAAAAAAGGCAGACCUAAUUUCAGUUCCUGAUGUUACCAUCCUGUGUGUUACUUUGGGCCUUUUAGUUAAUCUUCCUAAAAAACAUUCCUCAUCUCAAAAAAUGAGUAAAAGGUAUUAAUUACCUAAUAUGGUGCAGGCUUUGUAAAGCAUCCAUUAUGUAGUAGGGACUCAUAGUAGUGCACUUCCUUUUUCCUUAACCUAAGAUGAUAAAAUGCUACUUAAUAAGACUUCGGUGCUGUGCUUAUAAAAUGUACAUGCCAGAAAGGGUACCUUACUCUGAAAUUUAUGCUGCUGUCUUAUUUCCCUCAUGAGCCUGUGGUGGUGAACUUAACCAAAUAUAUUUUCUAAUCUCCCACCCUUAGUGACAGACUGAUACAUAUACCAAAUCUUACACUGUAAACACUUGACCUGUUGAAAGAAAAGUAGAGUAGAAAGAUUUUUUAAAAGGAACAAGUACAAGGUGAAAAACUUGCUGUUAUAAUGAACAGAGGUCUUUAGAAUUGAUUGAGGAAGAUUCCUUUCUCCCCCUGCUCUACCCUCUUCAUCACUGCAAAGAUGAAAUCACCUUGUAUUGAUUCUUUAAAAAGGAAAGUAAAGUAUAAUGGAGGGACUUUAUAAAGUAUAAAACAAGGACAGGCUUAGAGGUUAGUUUGUUAUUGUUUAUUUGUUUUUUAUUUAAUCUUUUCUCUACAUAAUCCUCUACAGAUGCUUCAUUUUUAGGGUUAGUAACUGCUAUCUUGAUGGAGGCAAGUGGGAAGGCCCCUGGAAGCAGGAUCCCCUGGGUAAGAAAGAUUCCAUGCUCAAAGAAGACUUGGCUUAGGUUUUGUCAGGAGUGGAGAAAAAUGGGUCAUUUUACCCAGACGAUCUUGUCUAAAAGCUGCCAUCUAGUGUUCAUUUCUGAGAAUACAUGCUGACAUACUAAUCCUGUGGUUCUCUAUCCCAAGGACCAUUUUUAUUGAUGUUUUUUAUGGUUAUGCAUAGAUUCUAAGACAAUUUCGUUACCAAAAGGAACACAAUGUUAGAAGGAAAUUGUUUUUCAGAUAUUUUCAUCAUAUACAUAUAGUACUGCCAAAAUAGGACUUUAGAAUAAUAACAGUAUAAUAAUAUUUCUGAAGGAAAUUAUCUCGUAUUGAACUGCUGUAAUAGCAAUUUAAAAAAAGUAACUCAGGUUAUCUUAUCCAUCCUUCUAGUUAGUAAAUGUUGCCUAUAGUUUUUAUUGGAGAGAGGGAGAGAAAAACCAUUUAUUGUAUAUUUUCAAUAUGCCAGACUCUAAAAACAUUAUCUUAUAUAAGUCUUACCGCAAUCCUUUGAGUUAAGCAUUCUUUUCUUUUAAAAAAUAUUUUUAUUUAUUUUUGAGAGAGAGAGAAGAGAGCAUGAGAGAGGCCAAGAGAAAGGGAGACAGAGAAUCUGAAGCAGGCUCUGUGCUGACAUCAGAGAGCCCAAUGCAGGGCUUGAACUCAUGAACCAUGAGAUCAUGACCUGAGCAUAAGUCAGACGCUUAAUGGCCUGAGCCACCCAGCACCCUUGAGUUAAGUAUUCUUUAUUUUUUGCCCCUCAUCUUUACUGAAGUGGAAUUGACAAAGGAAAUUUGAGUUAGUAUUCCUAACACUAUUUUACAUAUGAGAAAUUGUAGUGAAAUAAUUAACUUUAAAAAAAAUUUUUUUAAUGUUUAUUUACUUUAGAGACAGAGACAGACAGAGUGCGAGUGGGGGAGGGGUAGAGAGAGAGGGAGACACAGAAUCAGAAGCAGGCUCUGGGCUCUGAAUGGUCAGCACAGAGCCCUACAUGGGGCUUGAACUCAAAAACUGUGAGAUCAUGAUGAGAGCCGAAGUAAGACCCUUAACCAGCUGAGCCACCCAGGUGCCCCUAAUUGACUUUUUAUCAAAGAGCAAGUUGACUAAAGAACUCACAUCUGUCAUACUCAUGGUCAGUGCGCGUUCAUUUAUACCACAAUACCUAGUAAACUUUUUGAAAUUCAGGGGAAGUCUUACAAACCCCUUUUACUGCUUUCAUAAAUUGUUCAAAGGCCUAAACAACUCUAGAAAUCAUGGCAUUAAAAGGAACCUCUAAAGGGGUGCCUGGGUUGCUCAGUUGGUUAAAUGUGUGACUUCGGUUCAGGUCAUGAUAUCAUGGCUCAUGAGUUCCAGCCCCGUGUAAGGCUCUAUGCUGACAGCUCAGAGCCUGGAGCUUGCUUAAGAUUCUGUCUCUCUCUCUCUCUGCCCCUCCCCUGAUCGUGUUCUGUCUCCCUUUCUCUCUUUCUCUUUCUCUCCCUCUCUCAAAAUAAACAUUAAAAAAAUUUAAUAAAAAAAAAUAAAAAGGAACCUCUAAACUCCCACAUUGCUCCUUAGGAUUAUUUCCUUAAAACAGAUUGUAGUUUUGAGACCUGAAUCAAAAUGUACACAAUUCUUUUUUUUUUCCAAUAAAGUUUAUUUAUUUAUUUAUUUUGAGAGAGAGAGUGCAAAUGAGGGAGAGGCAGAGAGAUGGGGAGAGAGAGAAACCCAAGCAGGCUCUGCAUUGGUAGCACAGAGCCCGAUGUGUGGCUUCAACUCAUGAACCAUGAAAUCAUAACCUGAGUCGAAACCAAGAGUUGGACUAAACCACCCAGGAGCCCUGAAAAGUUACAAAAUUCUAAGUUACAAACACUUGGGUGGUUUUAUUCUUGAGUUUUGCUAAAGCAAAUUCAUGAAAUGUAUGGGUUUUUUUAAAGAUAUACUUUAAUUAUAAUACAUUUGACUGAAAUCCCAUAUUUUAUAUUAUAUUUACUUAAACCUUUAGCUAUUCUGUAUUACUUCAGGAAUGCCAGUUCUUGCAUGGAUCAACCAAAUGUGCCAUGCCCCCAAAUUUCAAUUUUUCAUUGUGUACAGACUGUACUAAUCACAACAGAGAAAACACACAGUUAAUUUUUAAAAAUUAAAAUAUUAAAUUUCCUAGAUUCAUUAUGUAAUGUAUUUGAUCACCUUUUGAAAUUUGAUGAGUAUUUAACGCUAAAUUCCCUAAUUUGGAACAAUUAUUUUAGGGAGCUAGUAUGAUUUAUUAAUGAAUCAUUUAGCAUAGAAAAGAGGACUCAUUGAUUGCCAGAGUCCAGCUCCAGCAGGUCCAGGGGUUCCCAAAGGAAGAACGGCGUCGGUGAAAAUAAAACAAAACUAAAAUAAAAAACUAAAACUAAAAUAAAAAAACUAAAAAUAAAUAACUAAAAUAAAAAACUAAAAUAAAAACAAAAAAUAAAAAUGGACACAGACAACAGCAGUGUGUUGAACUGGCCGAUUUAUUGUAGUAAACAUGCAUUAUAUAUGCUAGUGAUUUCCUUGUAACAUACGUCAUCUAUGUUUUUCUAACAUUACCUAAUUUUAAAAAUGUUCCUAUGUGUAAACAACCUUUAAGAAAUAACAUGGUGAUUUUCCCCUAACUUUCCCACAUACCCUUUGAUUAUAGAUUAACUUCUUACAUUAUUCCAUUAUGCAUCUGCAUUUAUCUAUAAUCUACAAAGCAUUCGCUUUGCUGUUCUCGUGAAAGGCCCUCCAUUUCUCAACACCUCAAGUGGAACAGUUACAGGGACAUGACCUCCUAACCACAUGAGGCCAGAAGAACAAUGUGUUCGCCUCGGUCCGAGGUGCCAGAAAGGGGCUGAAAAAGCCUUAGAAACCCAUGCCCCAUACAUUCUCAGGGAGACAAUGCACCUAGGAACCAGUGAACCAUUCUAUACCUUAACCGACUAGGUUCAGUCAUCAUCUGGAAUGCCUCCGGGGGGCCAGGUGGGCCUAGGGGUUGAAGUCACUUGUGCCCAGAGAUACACUCCUUAGUUGCCGGAGUGGGGCUUUCAAAUCCAUAUGUCUCUCCUUAGUUGGCUGCCUUUGCUGGCAAAGGUAUGAGGCUAUCCUUCCUGUAAGUAGAGGAGUCUCCAUGGGGGAUGGCAAGGGCUAAAUGUAAGGCCGCACAAUUUCUUGCGGAACCUUAUUUUUCUUCCCUAAUGGUUCUUUUCCCAGGGGGCCUGCUGAGGGCAAUUCCCCAACAGACAAUACCCCAGGUAGUUUUAAGGCCAAAUUACCUAAAAGUGGGAGUACAAGAAGCUUCACUGUCUGUGGGCCGCCCUGCAGUCACCAAUCCAUCCACAGCCCAGGCCCUGCCACUCAGGCUGGGAUAGCUUGGCUUCCAGCAAUUGAUUUGACAUUCAUCUUUCUAAAACCUGAGCUGCUUUUCUUAGGCAAGAUUAUUUUCCUUCAAUCCUGACAACAGUUCUGUUAGGUUUGUAAUAAUUGUGUGAAUUUUUAGGCAAACUACUGCAAAUACCCCUCAUUUUAGGGUGCUCAACACAAUAAAAUUUUAUUGUUUCCAUCACUUUCUUAACAUGGAUUGGUGGAGGUUCUGCUCCAUGCAUUCAUUUAAGGAACUAGGCUCCUUCUCUCUAGUACUCUACCACCUUCAAGGCAGGUAGGAUUGUCUAAAUCCCAGUUUUCCCCCUUUAGGAGUCUGGCUUCAGGGCCAUGUUUUUUAUCCAUUCCUUCCCUAUGACUUGUUCUUACCAACCCAGAGUUAGAUUUCUCUUUUUGAGCCUAAGAUGUGCUUUUAUUUAUUUAUAAAUUUUUUUAAUGUUUAUUUUUUUUUGAGAGAGAAAGACAGAGCAUGAGUGGGGAAGGGGCAGAGAGAGAGGGAGGCACAGAAUCUGAAACCUGCUCCAGGCUCUGAGCUGUCAGCAGAGCCUGUCGAGCCCAAUGCUGGGCUCGAACUCGGAAACGGCGAGAUCGUGACUGGGCUGAAGUCGGUAACUUAACCAACUGAGCCACCCAGGUACCCCUAAGAUGUGCUUUUAUAAAGUUGACUAUAAAAUAAUUUAAUUCAUAGAAUAUUAAGCAUCAGACACAGUCCUUCACACUGGCAAGUUAUCUUUUUGGCUAAAUAAUUCCACAAAUACGUUCAGGCAAAAUAUUCAGAAACAAAUUCUUCACAUUUCAUACAUAUUUAUGAAUUGAAACUUCAUGAUGUUACUUUUGAAAAUAUAUGUAUAGACCUAUCUGUAUAUAUGUAUUUUAAUUGACUGGCAAAUGGGCAGUUGUUCUUCAGACCUUAAAUAUAGAUGCACACAUACAUAUAUUUAUUUUUAACUUAAGAAACUGUAACACAUUUGUAGCAUUAUAAACUGUUUUUAGAGGGUAAAAUUAUUUUAUCUGCAAAACAGAGAUUACAUGUUAAAACGGAGCUUUCACUUACACAUAUUUAGAUUUUAAUACUUACUCCUGCAACAUUAAGAUUCUUUUUUUUCCCCAAAAAAGCCGACAAGUUCUGUACUCCCUGGCCUUUAAUAAUUUCUUUGAAUAGUGUGAAAUUGCCUUAUUUUUAUAUAUUUCCAGUUACUGAAAAAUUAGGUUUGGGGCAAUUAAGGUGUUAAAUUCACCAAAACACAUCUAGGGGGCCCAUUUAACAUGAAGAGAUGGCUUCCAUUGGAGCACAGAUCUUUUAGGGAGUAGCUGGGUACUCUGGAUGCAUCCUUUCUAUGGUAUGACUUCCUAAGGACUAUAGGCUAUAGGCUUUUGGUGAUAAUUCAGGCAAUUAGUCCUAUAUGGAGGCAGUUUGGUAGAAGAUUCCUGCAUCAACUAGUUCCGGGCAUCCCAGAAGGAAACCUGGAAGGUUUAGUCAGUAUAGGGUGAUUUUUAAGUUAAUAGCAACAUCAGGGAGUUGCUGAGGUUUAUUGGGGCAUUCAUUUUUCCAAUGGCCAUGCUGUUACCAUGGUUACAUUUGGACUACAUAGUCCAUUGGGGGGAAAUGGCCUGUAUUUGGUGCUUAUCAUAGGAACCCAAUAAGGAAGUAUUUACUUUUAGACCUAAGCAAGAGGGCCCUGUACUUAGUGGCCCACACAUACCACAAACACUAAACUUGUAAGGCCUGUAGGAGGCAGGAGAAAGUUCUUUUCCUUCUCUUUCUCCUCCUCCUCCUCCUCCUCCUCCUUCUUCUUCUUUUCAUGGUUAUCCUCUUUUUUUUUUUUUUUGUAUUUUUUAUUUAAUUUAUUUUUUAAAUUUAUAUCCAAGUUAGUGUGUAGUGCAACAAUGAUUUCAGGAGUAGAUUCCUUAAUGCCCCUUACCCAUUUAGCCUAUCCCCCCUCCCACAACCCCUCCAGCAACCCUCUAUUUGUUCUCCAUAUUUAAGAGUUUCUUAUGUUUUGUCCCCAUAACUGUUUUUGUGUUAUUUUUGCUUCCCUUCCUUUAUGUUCACCUGUUUUGUAUCUUAAAGUCCUCAUAUGAGUGAAGUCAUCUGAUAUUCGCCUUUCUCUGACUGACUAAUUUCAGUUAGCAUAAUACCCUCCAGUUCCAUCCACAUAGAUGCAAAUGGCAAGAUUUCAUUCUUUUUGAUUGCCGAGUAAUACUCCAUUGUGUGUAUAUACCACAUCUUUUUUAUCCAUUCAUCCAUCGAUGGACAUUUGGGCUCUUUCUAUAGUUUGGAUAUUGUUGAUAGUGAAAGUUCUUUUCCUUCUACCAUCAUAGGUUCUCUGGCUGAGUCCCUGCAAAUUAGACUGAUGAAAGACAGACUAACAAGAGAAAAACAAGUUUGUUAAUAUGUGAAUCGUGUAUAUAUGUGGGAGUACUCAGAGAUAAGUAACUCAAAGGGAUGAUUAGAACUUGGGCUUAUAUAGCAUUAAAAAAGUUUUUUUUAGUAAUCUCUACACCCAACUUGGGGCUUAAACUCAUGACCCUGAGAUCAAGAGUCACACACUCUUACCAUCGAGUCAUCCAGGUGCUCCAUGGCUUAUAUAGCAUCUUAACAAAAGAACAAUAAAUGUUUAGAGAAGUGAUAAAACAAAGGAAUUGAGUUUCUAGGGCAGCAAAUUGUGGGAAGGCAAAUAUAUGGGGAACUAAUGGAACAUAAAAUUAGUAAAAUUUGUCAUGGAGAUUCCACUGGUGUAGUCUCCGAGCUGGUAAGGGUAUAGAAUUGUCUCUGGUCAUUAACUUCUGUUCUUUCUGGUUGAGAGAAGAUGGGGAAUACCUUUAUGAGUUUAUGUUUUGCUUUUAGGCAAAUAGGGGGAGGAAAGAAAGCUUUUUUUUAUACUUGAUUCUUCUCAGUUGCCUUCAGCUCAAAAUAAUCCUGAUGCCAAAAUGAUAUGUUUUGAAGUGGUGUGUUCUGCUACCCUUCAGAUCCCAGGGAGAUUAACACUUCAAGACAUCUCUUAUCUUGGACAUAUUCUGAUGUCCUCAAAAGAAAAUGUGACUGCAUCCAAAUGCUAUGAUGGCUCCCCAGUUGUGCAUUGUGACAUUGUGCCAACAUCAGAGAUGGAUACUACUGCAGAGUGGAGAGGUUCUGAGAAGCAGAAGCAUGUAAGUAGGACAUCAUAGCAAAUUACAUUUUUUGCCAGAUCCUUUCAGAUAGAUGAAUGCAAGGGAUUCUUACAUAACAAUGACCAUUUGCCAGUAGUGUGGCGCAUCCAUUUCUUGCUUCUCUUCAUAUUUCAGUGAGUGGUUCCAGAAUCACUCAUGAAUUAGUUUAGCACAGUGUUUGCAAAGCUUUGGAAACAUUUAUGAAUAUUAAUUUAUAUUGUAUUUAAAGUCCUCUACGUGUAUGACAAGACCUGAUAUACAUGAAAUAUGCUGUUAACAUUGUCAACUAGAUGAAAAAAAUUGGCAACUAGCUGGACAUUGAAUGUUAAAAUCAUGUUAGUUUUAUUAAAAAAAUUUUUUUUAAUGUUUAUUUAUUUUAGAGAGAGAGAGUGAGAGAGUGGGGAAGGGGCAAGGAGGGUGUGGGGGACAGAGGAUCUGAAGCAGGCUCUAUGCUGACAGCAGCAAGCCCAAUGCAGGCUUGGACUCACAAACUGGAAGAUCAUGACCUAAGCUGAAGUUGGAAGGCAGCUGUGCUCACCACUAUACCACCAACGCUGCACGACCUGAGCUGAAGUCGGAAGCUUAAGCCAUUGAACCACCCAGUUGCCCCUUAGUUUUCUUUCCUUCCUCCCUCCCUCCCUCACUUCCUUCCUUCCAUCCUUUCUUUUUAAAUUUUCAUAACAGUGUUUAAUAAGGGAGUACCUGGCUGGAUCAGUCAGUAAAGUGUGUAGCUCUUGAUUUUGGGGUUGUGAGUUGAAGUCUCGUGUUGGGUAUAGAGAUUACUUAAAAACCUUAAAUAUAUAUGUGUGUGUGUGUGUGUGUGUGUGUGUGUGUGUGUGUGUAUACACAUGUAUAUAUGUGUGUGUGUAUAUAUAUAUAUAUAUGUAUAUAUUUACUAAGAUUUAAUUACAUUUUAUUACUCAUUGCUGUUAUUACAAUCACUCAUGUCACCCGACCUCCUAAGUAGUGUUAGAAGUCUGAUAUUGAAAAAAAUAAAAUGAAAGAAAGAAAAAGAAUGAACGAACCCUGGUAAUGUGCUCCUUAUUAGGAAUAUACCCAAUUAUGUGCUAGUAUAGGGAAAAUUCAAAGUUUUGUGAGUGUGUAACCAUGAGUAUCAUGCUCCCUUUAUCUUCACUGUUCCCUUCAAAACCAAGAAAACAUAUGGGUGUAGAGACCACAUAAGUUUUCAAAUAAGCUGAAAUUAGAGUUUUGUAGCAUUGAAAUGGAGUCUUUUCACCAAAGUACAAUAUAACUUGAAAUAGGAAACAGCAAUUGGACUCUGCCCAAAUCUGUUGACUAGCAUUAAGAUUGGGCUAAUCUUUCUUAGGUGGGAACACUACAGAAGAAAGUCCCACAGAGACUGGCAGUUGAGACACUGUCAGGCAGUUAUGAAAAUUCAUUUUACCUUUGCUGAACAUUUGUAUGUUGAGCCAGCUGCCUCUGACAGCACAAAAGUUCUAAAUUUGACACCUUGAAAGGCUGGUGUCGAAGUGCAAAACCAAAGGCUGCAACAACCUGACUUUGAUACAGUGAAUGGAACCAGAGUGCACCUGCACUUAAAUUCUUUCAAUUUCAGCCCACAGUGGGCUCCAAACAUUCCUGAUAAUGUUCCUGUUCAGGUUCCCUUUUUGAAGGCUCCAUUUGUGGGGAUAGAACAUGCUCCAUACAGGGGCUUCCAGCAGAUGGCUCUUGCCCUCCCCUAAACUUACAGCACAGCCAUUGCUUAAGUGCCCCCUUGAAAAAGGUCCAAAGAAAGAUAUGUAAGCCCAUCUAUGACAUUACCACUUCACAGAGGCUGCAGAGACCCCAGGCCUGAGGGAGACUCACCACAUGACAUGAUCUCUCCAUUCCAGAGCUCCAAGGCUGAUGAGACCUGCAGCUGGUGGGUGGGAACUCACACCUCUAAGGUCACUGCUCUGGAAGGCCCUAUGCUAUGGUGUGGGAAUUUAUUACUAAGUGGGGUGCAUUGACUCCAGCUGGUUCCCACCCUACAGGAAUCCCACAGGGGACUAGGUAUCAUUUCCAACUUGUAUUUUCCAGCUGUGUGAUGACCGGUCAGUCUAACAAGGAAGUAGGAUGCUUCAGUGUCUGUGGCUUUAGUUCAGGUGCUGUGUGGAAGAAGCCUAGAGAACUUAGGUCAAACAGUUGACCAAAGUGAUGUAGGGCCUGGCCUAAUGGUGCUCACUUUCACCAGUAGAUGCAAGCUCAUGUGAAGCACCUCAAACCUAGCAGGUCACAUGAGGCCCUAAGAAGCAGGAACCAUUGGCAUCCAGGUCUUUCUGUCUACAUGUAGGCAAUCUACUGCCACCUUGGUGGAAAAAUUUCUCAAGUGGUACCCUUAGUACUGUACUGUGCCACCUUUCUUCUGCUACUUUCUCUUCCAAGGUCCUGGAGGAGUAACUGUCCUUCCCAGCACACAGUGUUGGUGGAGGGUCUGGAACCAGGCAGCUAAGAGGUAUGGAGACCACUGGAACACAGACAGUUCCUCUUAGGUUUGCUGUGAUAUGCCCAUUGUCACCUUGAGUGAGCUGCAGACACUGACAUCUUACCCAGCCCUGUUGGACUUUUGCUGUCUCAGCUUGCAGCUCUCUGGAGGACCAGAGUUGGUAGUCCUGACCAGUUGAAUAUUGGUGCAUGCAGAUGUCACUAGAUGCCAGACCCAGCCCUGUCCUUCGCCCCAUGGGCCCCUCUUUUUCUGAAACCACCAUCCCCAGAGAGUUAGUUCUCCUGGGAUAUUCCCCAGACCCUUUGGCCAGCUUUUCCACCUUUCCCUUCUGGGGUCAAUACUUUACAGUGUCUACAACCAAAAUAUCUCCCCACCAGGAGAACUUUCACCAUCCACUGGUCAUUUAGAACCCUUCUUCAUUCGUGGACAUCCAUGGGCCUUAUUCCACUUCACCUUUCUGGUAGGCUAUCUUGGUCUUAAGACAGUACAUGUCUCCCUCCUGUAUAAAUGGAUCAUCCCUUUGGCCCUGAAGACUAUUAAACUGACCCCCAUUUGUGUUUUUAGACCUAAGCCCUUCAGCUCAGAUUGUCCUUUCCUCAAGGUCCUUGAUUACCAACCCAUCAUAGGACUGGAGUAACUAACCGACCUUUCCCUUUUCAAGGUAGAAGUUUCUUUACAUUCUUUCCUCGGGCUACUUUGUUAAAGCGCAUUUCAAAAUAAGGUAUACAUUUUCCUUUGAUGUUUAGUUUUAGCAGUUUUAUCAAACAGUAUUUUUCUCUUGGAGCUGCCCUGGUAUUAUGCAUUUCUGAACCAAACAACUCAUAUCUGAUUGUUCUAUCAAAAAAAUAGGUUUGACAUUAGCUGCAAUGGAACACCACCUCAAAGCCUGUCCUCUUUGAACUCUCCUGCUUGGGUCUCAGCUGCUGCAGCAAGGAAGCCUAGAUAAGGCCAUAUGGAGGAGAACUGAAACCUUUGGGCAACAGCCCCAGCUGAACUUCCAGUUGGCAUCUGCCACCAGCUGUCAGCUUUGGGAGUGAGGUCGUUUGGACCUUUCUUCUGCACAUCACAGAAUGGGAGUCCUUUUCCAGAUGUACUCCAUGUGUGAGGUUUGGAAAAAAACACAUAGUAGUUGAUAAUAUUGCAGUGUGAUGGAAAAAGAAUGGCAAAUAAGAUCUAGCAGAGAAGAAUGCCAAUAGGAUCCCUGUGAGGUGGGCAUUCCAGACAGCAAGAGGGAUGGAUGUUCCAAGAGUGGGCAAGCUUGAGGCGAGCAAAAAAGACAUCCAUUAUGAUGAAGUCAUAGGUAUUGAGCUGGAAAUAAAUAAGGACAGGUGGCUAGGUCCGGAGACUAAAUAGAGAUUUCUUGUGGCAGAAAGAUGAAUACCCAAUACUUGUUAGAGGUGAUUGGUUUAGAAAGGGUUUUACCUUAUCCAGAUACUUGAAGAACCAUUAUACAGGGGGCAAAGAAAAGAAUGCCCAACAACACUAUUACUAAAUUAUACUUGAAUUUAAAAAUAAAGCCUCUUUCAUUCUUAAAAGUACCCAUUUCAAAAGCUUACAUUGCCCACCAAACAGUCUUUAUUUUUUUAUUAAAGUUUAUCUUAUUUAUUUAUUUUGAGAGAGAGAGCAGGGGAGAGGCAGAGAGAGAUGGAGAGUGGGAAUCCCAAGCAGGCUCCACACUGUCAGUGCAGAACCUGAUGCAGGGCUCAAACUUACAAACCGAGAUCAUGACCUGAACCAAAAUCAAAAGCCAGACACUUAACUGACUGAGGUACCCCUCAGUAGCAGCAGUUUUUAAAGGAUAAUUUGGAUCAUGCUCAAAUAGAGCUCUGCAAAUUUCUUAUUGCACUUUUCUUCACUUGAGAGAGAAACUGUUUACACGAACAUGAAACAAACCUAAAACCUGGACCUUCACAGAGCUUUCACUCACCCAAAUAAAUGCAUUUAUUUGUUAUUCUUAGCACUUAACCUAAUAAUACCCCCUGGGUUAUAUAUAACAUUUUUCUGAAUAUCUACAAUGUAGCAGUUAUUUCUGAACAUUUACUCCUGGAAAUUCACAGGAUGAACAAGUUUGCAUGCCGUAGGAUUUCUGAAAACCAUCUUGGCAAAAAUAAAAUAAAAGUAAGUGAGGUAGGGCACCCGGGUGGCUCAGUCAGUUAAGCAUCGGACUCUUGGUUUUGGCUCAGGUUAUAUUCUCAUGGUUUGUGAGUUCAAGCCCCACGUUAGGCUCUACACUGAUAGUCCGGAGCCUGCUUGGGAUCCUCUCUCUCCCUUUCUCUCUACCCCUUCCCUGCUUGUUCUCUCCCUCUCUCUUUCUAAAAAAAAAAAAAAAAACUUAAAAAGUGAGGUAAUCAUUUCACAGUAUAUACAUAUGUCAAAUCAUUAUGUUGUACAUCUUAAAGGAAUACAGUGUUCUAUGUUGAUUAUAUCUCAGUAAAACUGGGGGGAAAUGAAUGAGGGCUUUGGAAUAAAAUUGGAACGUAAUUUUACUA
rnacentral:lncRNA from 1 species